ACUCCUACGGGAGGCAGCAGUGGGGAAUCUUGGACAAUGGGCGCAAGCCUGAUCCAGCCAUGCCGCGUGAGUGAUGAAGGCCCUAGGGUCGUAAAGCUCUUUCGCCAGGGAUGAUAAUGACAGUACCUGGUAAAGAAACCCCGGCUAACUCCGUGCCAGCAGCCGCGGUAAUACGGAGGGGGUUAGCGUUGUUCGGAAUUACUGGGGCGUAAAGCGCGCGUAGGCGGACUGGAAAGUUGGGGGUGAAAUCCCGGGGCUCAACCUCGGAACUGCCUCCAAAACUCCCAGUCUUGAGUUCGAGAGAGGUGAGUGGAAUUCCGAGUGUAGAGGUGAAAUUCGUAGAUAUUCGGAGGAACACCAGUGGCGAAGGCGGCUCACUGGCUCGAUACUGACGCUGAGGUGCGAAAGUGUGGGGAGCAAACAGGAUUAGAUACCCUGGUAGGAUAGCG
rnacentral:rRNA from 1 species